rnacentral:hammerhead_ribozyme from 1 species
AUCCAGCUGAGGAGUCCCAAAUAGGACAGUGGAAAUGCGCAUCCUGUAU